UGGUUCUGGCAUCGAUGAAGAACGCAGCAAAAUGCGAUAAGUAAUGUGAAUUGCAGAAUUUAGUAAAUCAUCGAAUCUUUAAACACGCAUUGCGCCCUCUGGUAUUCCGGGGGGCAUGCCUGUUCAAGCGUCAUUACAACCCUCAAGCUCUGCUUAGUAUUGGGCGUCACCCCUCGGGGUGCGCCUCAAAAUCAGUGGCGGCGCCACUCGGCUUCAAGCAUAGUAAUUCUUCUCGCUUUGGAGGACCGGGUGCGUGCCUGCCAGCAACCCCCAAUUUUCUCAGGUUGACCUCGGAUCAGGUAGGGAUACUCGCUGA
rnacentral:misc_RNA from 1 species